GCAUCAGUGAGGUACAUCCUUACCUGUUACCUUAGAAAUAAGGUUUCAGAACAUGAUGAUUGGAUUCUAAUGAAUACGUGAUUAUUUUCCGUAUUCGUUUUGGGCAGCAACCCCAUAACGAGUCCUUUCUGAG